AAGUCGUAACAAGGUUUCCGUAGGUGAACCUGCGGAAGGAUCAUUAACUAAUUGAUUGAUAAUAUGGUAGUGUGAAAUUUGAGCGCAUUUGAAUAGUUAAUUCUAUGCGAUGUUAUAUACGAUGAAUGCUGUAAUAAUUAUAUUAAUAAUAAUAAUAAAUACAACUUUUAACAAUGGAUCUCUUGGCUCUU
rnacentral:misc_RNA from 1 species